GUCCACGCCGUAAACGAUGGGUACUAGGCGCUGGGGGGAGGCGACCCCUUCCGGUGCCGUCGUUAACACAGUAAGUACCCGCCCUGGGGAGGUACGGCCGCAAGGCUGAAACUCAAAGGAAAUUGACGGGGGCCCGGCACAAGCGGUGGAGCAUGUGGUUCAAUUCGAAGCAACGCGAAGAACCUUACCUGGGCUUGACAUGCACGGGAAAGCUGGUGGAAACAUCGGCCCCUCUUCGGAGUCCGUGCACAGGUGCUGCAUGGCUGUCGU
rnacentral:rRNA from 1 species